rnacentral:lncRNA from 1 species
CACCCCAAAAUACCCUGAACUGCCCCAAACUGCUGCUCACAGGGCACCCCAAAAACUCCCCGAGUUACCCCGAAAUCCCCAAAAUUGCCCAAAAUGCCGCGUUCACGUGGUGCCCUAAAAUAUCUGAAAUUGCCCCAAACUGCAGCUCAAAAACUCCAUGAGUUACCUCAAAAUUCCCCAGAUUGCCCCGAAAUUCUGUGCCCUGUAAUACCAAAACUGCCCCAAACUGCUGCUCACGGGGCACCCCAAAAAACCCCCGAGUUACCCCAAAAUCCCCCAAAUUGCCCCGAAAUUCUGUGCCCCAAAAUACCCAAAACUGCCCCAAACUGCUGCUCACGGGACGCCCCAAAAACCCCUGAGUUACCCCAAAAUCCCCAAAGUUGUCCCAAAAUUCUGCACCCCAAAAUAUCCAUAAUUGCCCCAAACUGCUGCUUGUGGGACACCCCAAACCCCCCCGAGUUACCCCAAAUGCUGCACCCCAAAAUACCUGAAAUUACCCCAAAGUGCUGCUCCCGCUGCACCCCAAAACUCUCCAAGACACCCCAAAAUCCCCCAAACUGCCCAAACUGCCGGGCUCACGUGUUGCCCAAAAAUACCCAAAAUUGCCCCAAACUGCUGCUCACGGGGCGCCCCAAAAACUCCUCGAGUUACCCCAAAAUCCCCCAAAUUGCCCCUAAAUCCCCUGAUCACGCGGUGCCCCAAAAUCCCCUGGGUCACCCCAAAAUUACUCUGAGUUACCCCAAAACACCAAAAAUUGCCCCAAAACCCCCUCGUCACGUGGUGCCCCGAAACACUCGGAGUCACCCCAAAACGCCUGGAGUUACCCCAAAAUUGCCCCCAAAUUCCCCUGAGUUACCCCAAAAUUCCCCAAAUUGCCCCCAAAUUCCCCUGACUUACCCCAAAACUUCGUGGCCGCCCUGCACCCCAGAAUAUCCGAAAUUGCCCCAAAAUAUCCUGAACUGCCCCGAACGUCCCCGAACAUUGAGGCCCAAAAACGCCUCAAAUUACCCCAAAACGCCUCAAAUCGCCCCAAAACGGCCGCGCUCCCGCGGCCCCUCCAAGCGGGGUCCCCAAUCCCCCCAAAUCCCCCCAAAUCUCGUCCCGAACUGCCCAAAAUCGCCCCAAAACUCCCCAGAUCACCCCCUGAAAUUUGCCAAAUCGCCCCGAAAUUUCCCAAAUUACGCUGGAACCCCCCGGAAUUUCCCCGGAAUCCCCCAAAAUUCGGCCGCUCACGCCCGCCCUCGCUGUGCCC